AGCAGCCGCGGUAAUUCCAGCUCCAAUAGCGUAUAUUAAAGUUGUUGCGGUUAAAAAGCUCGUAGUUGAAUUUCGGGGUUCAUACGUUGGUCGGGCUAUUUGGUCUGUACUUAUGUAAUGGAUUCCUACCUUCUGAAUAACCGGCAUGCCAUUAAUUUGGUGCGCCGGGGAAGCAGGACUGUUACCUUGAAAAAAUUAGAGUAGCUUAAAGCAGGCUAUCGCCUGAAUACAUUAGCAUGGAAUAAUGAAAUAGGACGGCAUGGUUCUAUUUUGUUGGUUUCUAGGAUCACCGUAAUGAUUAAUAGGGGUAUUGGGGGCAUUAGUAUUCAAUUGUCAGAGGUGAAAUUCUUGGAUUUAUUGAAGACUAACUUCUGCGAAAGCAUUUGCCAAGGAUGUUUUCAUUAAUCAAGAACGAAAGUUAGGGGAUCGAAGACGAUCAGAUACCGUCGUAGUCUUAACCAUAAACCUAUGCCGACUAGGGAUCGGACGAUGUUAAUUUUUAAUGUACUCGUUCGCGCCU
rnacentral:rRNA from 1 species